GACGAACCGUACGAACGUUAUUCGGAAUCACUGGGCUUAAAGGGUGCGUAGGCGGCGCGGAAAGUUGGGUGUGAAAUCCCUCGGCUCAACCGAGGAACUGCGCCCAAAACUGCCGUGCUCGAGGGAGAUAGAGGUGAGCGGAACUUAGGGUGGAGCGGUGAAAUGCGUUGAUAUCCUAAGGAACACCGGUGGCGAAAGCGGCUCACUGGAUCUCUUCUGACGCUGAGGCACGAAAGCUAGGGUAGCGAACGGG
rnacentral:rRNA from 1 species